GACAGAGGGUGCAAGCGUUGUUCGGAAUUAUUGGGCGUAAAGGGUGCGUAGGUGGUGAGGUAAGUCUGAUGUGAAAUCUCCGAGCUCAACUCGGAAAUGGCAUUGGAAACUACCUUGCUAGAGGGUUGGAGGGGGGACUGGAAUACUUGGUGUAGCAGUGAAAUGCGUAGAUAUCAAGUGGAACACCAGUGGCGAAGGCGAGUCCCUGGACAACUCCUGACACUGAGGCACGAAAGCUAGGGGAGCAAACAGG
rnacentral:rRNA from 1 species